CUGUGCCUUACAGCCGAGCGCCGCCAGCUAGAAUCAAGAAGUCAAAAGGUCAAGAUGUGGAAAUGAGGCGAUUGAGUAUGGGCUGUCUUAUACAACAAAGCCACAAUAGCAUCUUUCUGUGCACAUGUUGGUGCUUGUGAGAAACAGAUGAUAGAAGAGAGCGAUGCACAAGAACAAGCUGGAGGCAGAACGAGUAAGCUGUGAGGCGGUAGUCAGUGCUGAGGUUGUCAGCAGUGGCAGCACCUUGCUUUGGAGCAGCCUUGAUCAAGGCACGGAUGCUUUGAAUGUCCUCUGAAACAGGCAGGUAAAGGAGGGUCGAAGACAACCAGAGCGGUCAACCUUCUUCUUGUCAUGCUGACAGUUA